UACGUAGGGGGCAAGCGUUGUCCGGAUUUAUUGGGCGUAAAGAGCGUGUAGGCGGCUAGGUAGGUCCGUUGUGAAAACUCGAGGCUCAACCUCGAGACGUCGAUGGAAACCAUCUAGCUAGAGUCCGGAAGAGGAGAGUGGAAUUCCUGGUGUAGCGGUGAAAUGCGCAGAUAUCAGGAAGAACACCCGUGGCGAAGGCGGCUCUCUGGGACGGUACUGACGCUGAGACGCGAAAGCGUGGGGAGCAAACAGG
rnacentral:rRNA from 1 species